ACUCCUACGGGAGGCAGCAGUGGGGAAUUUUGGACAAUGGGGGGCAACCCUGAUCCAGCCAUCCCGCGUGUGCGAUGAAGGCCUUCGGGUUGUAAAGCACUUUUGGCAGGGAAGAAACAGCCUGGGCUAAUAUCCCGGGCGACUGACGGUACCUGCAGAAUAAGCACCGGCUAACUACGUGCCAGCAGCCGCGGUAAUACGUAGGGUGCAAGCGUUAAUCGGAAUUACUGGGCGUAAAGCGUGCGCAGGCGGUUCGGAAAGAAAGGUGUGAAAUCCCAGGGCUUAACCUUGGAACUGCACUUUUAACUACCGGGCUAGAGUACGUCAGAGGGGGGUAGAAUUCCACGUGUAGCAGUGAAAUGCGUAGAGAUGUGGAGGAAUACCGAUGGCGAAGGCAGCCCCCUGGGAUGAUACUGACGCUCAUGCACGAAAGCGUGGGGAGCAAACAGGAUUAGAUACCCUGGUAGCGAGUA
rnacentral:rRNA from 1 species